CCUUAGUAACGGCGAGUGAAGCGGCAAAAGCUCAAAUUUGAAAUCUGGUACCUUCGGUGCCCGAGUUGUAAUUUGGAGAGGGCAACUUUGGGGCCGUUCCUUGUCUAUGUUCCUUGGAACAGGACGUCAUAGAGGGUGAGAAUCCCGUGUGGCGAGGAGUGCGGUUCUUUGUAAAGUGCCUUCGAAGAGUCGAGUUGUUUGGGAAUGCAGCUCUAAGUGGGUGGUAAAUUCCAUCUAAAGCUAAAUAUUGGCGAGAGACCGAUAGCGAACAAGUACAGUGAUGGAAAGAUGAAAAGAACUUUGAAAAGAGAGUGAAAAAGUACGUGAAAUUGUUGAAAGGGAAGGGCAUUUGAUCAGACAUGGUGUUUUGUGCCCUCUGCUCCUUGUGGGUAGGGGAAUCUCGCAUUUCACUGGGCCAGCAUCAGUUUUGGUGGCAGGAUAAAUCCAUAGGAAUGUAGCUUGCCUCGGUAAGUAUUAUAGCCUGUGGGAAUACUGCCAGCUGGGACUGAGGACUGCGACGUAAGUCAAGGAUGCUGGCAUAAUGGUUAUAUGCCGCCCGUCUUGAAACACAGGACACAAAA
rnacentral:rRNA from 1 species